rnacentral:rRNA from 1 species
UACGUAGGGUGCAAGCGUUAAUCGGAAUUACUGGGCGUAAAGCGUGCGCAGGCGGCUUUGCAAGACAGAUGUGAAAUCCCCGGGCUUAACCUGGGAACUGCAUUUGUGACUGCAUGGCUGGAGUGCGGCAGAGGGGGAUGGAAUUCCGCGUGUAGCAGUGAAAUACGUAGAUAUGCGGAGGAACACCGAUGGCGAAGGCAAUCCCCUGGGCCUGCACUGACGCUCCUGCACGAAAGCGUGGGGAGCAAACAGG